AAAAAUAUUAAAAAUUGGGUAGUAAAGGAGUUUCCGAAACCUAAAGGACUUGGCGGUAUUUUAAAUAAUUGGAGGAACUUGUUAUUUAAUUGAAACUACACAACAUAUCUUUCCAUGUUUUUGUUUGUAUAUCAUUGUUUAAAGACGACAUUUUUUAAUAUAGUCUAAAAUAGUAUUGUUCAAUAAAUCAAAUCAAGGCGCAGCAUAACAUGGUUAUGAUGAGUUACAAUGAAACUUAUUCAUGACGGAAAUAAAAAAUAAAAAUAUAUAGAAGGUGGAUUCAAAAAUAAUAAGAAAUUAAAAAGUUUUUAUGAAUAAUAAUUUAAAAUAUGC
rnacentral:rRNA from 1 species